AUCAGCUCCUCACGAAUGCUAGUUCGUGAUUUCACCCUUUUGAUGGCAGAUGUUGAUCGAACUCCUUCGAUCAAUGUGUGCUGACUCCUCGGAUGCUCCGGAUCAUUUGCACGGUUGCUUGAGAGGCUGAUGGAUCUCUCCCUAAAAUUUGGUGGACUCACGACACUCGUGGCACACCAAUCUCACUUCCCAAACCCUAUGUAGAAACCCUAGGGUACACACUAAAAACUCUGCGCUCAAUUUUCUUUCUUUUCUUUCUUUUUCUCUCGGAAGGUUUUGGACCUUCACCUUGCGCACAAACUUUCCUCACGCCCCAAAGUUUCUCUCCUA
rnacentral:lncRNA from 1 species